rnacentral:rRNA from 1 species
GGACUACCCGGGUUUCUAAUCCUGUUUGCUCCCCUUGCUCUCGCGCCUCAGCGUCAGGUAUUAACUAGAAAACCGCUUUCGCCACAGGUGUUCUUCCACAUAUCUACGCAUUUCACCGCUACACGUGGAAUUCCGUUUUCUCCGUCAACCCUCCAGAAAGGCAGUUUCAAAUGCAGCACUGAAGUUGAGCUUCAGUAUUUCACAUCUGACUUGCCUUCCCGCCUACGCGCCCUUUACGCCCAAUCAUUCCGAUUAAUGCUUGCACUCUCCGUAUUACCGCGGCGGCUGGCAC